GUCGAGAAUCUUUCACAAUGGGGGCAACCCUGAUGGAGCGACGCCGCGUGGAGGAUAAGGUCUUCGGAUUGUAAACUCCUGUCAUGCGUGAACAAGGUUGCUUGGUUAAUACCUGGGCAAAUUGAUGGUAACGCAAGAGGAAGAGACGGCUAACUCUGUGCCAGCAGCCGCGGUAAUACAGAGGUCUCAAGCGUUGUUCGGAAUCACUGGGCGUAAAGGGUGCGUAGGUGGCGUGGUAAGUCAGAUGUGAAAGCCCGGGGCUAAACCUCGGAACUGCCUCCGAUACUGCCAUGCUAGAGUACUGGAGAGGUGACUAGAAUUCUCGGUGUAGCAGUGAAAUGCGUAGAUAUCGAGAGGAAUACCAAAGGCGUAGGCAGGUCACUGGACAGUUACUGACACUGAGGCACGAAGGCCAGGGGAGCGAACGGGAUUAGAUACCCCUGUAGUCC
rnacentral:rRNA from 1 species